GGAACUCGCCAUUUGACUAAACUUCGUCGUAAAUAUAGUUUACACACAGGAAUUACAUCUGAUCUUUACACAGUCAACAAAAUCACUCGCAGUAAUAUCAGAGUAAUUAUGCCGAGAAAAGUGAUAUCACUUUCGAAGAGGAAGACCAUGUAAUCUUGUAUCAUAUCUUUCGGAUCAAAAUGGCGGGCUUUUCGAUCUUCGAAACUCUGCACGUUGAGGUAAAUUGUCUAUUUGUAGCACCUCUGAACUCAGUACCCUUUUGGAUACUUGGCGAAAGGAAGAUCAGAAUAAUCUAUCACCCGUUAAAACUCUACAAAGGAUAGCAGAGCUUGUGGAACAUGAGAAUGAGGCAUAUCAUAAACUAGAUCCAGAUCCUUUUGAUGAUUGGCAUCCAGGUAGAGCUGACCCAGACUGUGCAUUAGGCCAUCUUUUGAAGACACUGUUCAGAAAUGAUGAAUUUAUGGA